GGAUUGUGGCUCAGUGGUAGAGCACUCGCCUAGCAUAGGCGGGACCUGGUUCGAUCCUUAGCACCA
rnacentral:tRNA from 1 species